GAACGCUGGCGGCGUGCCUAACACAUGCAAGUCGAGCGGGAAGCCGGAACAUGUAGAGAUAUAUGAGAAAGCAUCCUAGCGGCGGACGGGUGAGUAACACGUGAGGAACCUGCCUUACACAGGGGAAUAACACCGUGAAAACGGUGCUAAUACCGCAUAACACCGCACUAUGGCAUCAUAGAGCGGUCAAAGGAGAAAUCCGGUGUAAGAUGGCCUCGCGCCCGAUUAGUUAGUUGGUGGGGUAAUGGCCUACCAAGACUGCGAUCGGUAGCCGGACUGAGAGGUCGAACGGCUACAUUGGAACUGAGAGACGGUCCAGACUCCUACGAGAGGCAGCAGUGGGGAAUAUUGGGCAAGUACGGGGGAAACCCUGACCCAGCAACGCCGCGUGAAGGAAGAAGGCCUUCGGGUUGUAAACUUCUUUGAUCAGGGAAGAAACAAAUGACGGUACCUGAAAAACAAGCCACGGCUAACUACGUGCCAGCAGCAGC
rnacentral:rRNA from 1 species